rnacentral:rRNA from 1 species
UGGUCCCUACGGGAGGCAGCAGUGGGGAAUAUUGCACAAUGGGGGGAACCCUGAUGCAGCAAUGCCGCGUGGGUGAAGAAGCACUCCGGAGCGUAAAGCCCUGUCAGCAGGGAAGAAAAUGACAGUACCUGGACAAGAAGCCCCGGCUAACUACGUGCCAGCAGCCGCGGUAAUACGUAGGGGGCAAGCGUUAUCCGGAUUUACUGGGUGUAAAGGGAGCGUAGGUGGCAGGGCAAGUCAGAUGUGAAAACCCGGGGCUCAACCCCGGGAGUGCAUUUGAAACUGUCCAGCUGGAGUGCAGGAGG